CCUGGAACUCACGCUGUAGACCAGGCUGGCCUCAAACUCACAGAGAUCUGUCUGCCUUUGCCUCCUGAGUGCUGGGAU
ensembl:miRNA